rnacentral:RNase_MRP_RNA from 2 species
UCCUCGCUCAAAGAAUCGCAUUAGGAGCUCACACCAGAGGCGUCUCGCUGCGCCCUCUCUCAUGCUCUUGGAGAAAGUCCCCGGACAUCCUGCCGCAAGGCAGGCGCCGCCGUCAACGGCCCGCCACAGAAGCAUUGCGGCCUCCCCGUUCCUCCUGCACCUGCUGCGCCUUGCACCGUUUGCACUCUCUUGCGCACGUGGAUAUUCUCACCCCUUGCUUAGUAGGACGGCAUUAUGGGCGAAGAUAUGAGUCCGCUGUUCCUGCGAGGCUUGGUUCUUGGGAAGGUCCUGUUCUGCAAGGCAGGAGGUGUUGGGGGUACCGUGGCUAGGUAAGCGGGAUUCAAGGACGGGCUUGAGGGUCUUUUCGUCGAGUCGAUAGUUAUGCGAUUGCCUUCUCACCUCCACGUCAGCUGUGUUGCACGCCUAGUGUGAUCUCUCUCCGUCAGUGACGGGGGAGCAUUAUGUUUUAGUCGUGGAGGACGGGGGGUAACUCGAUGGGGCUUAUUCUUGAUGCGAGG